rnacentral:rRNA from 1 species
GAUCAUGGCUCAGGACGAACGCUGGCGGCGCGCCUAACACAUGCAAGUCGAACGAGCGAGAGAGAGCUUGCUUUCUCAAGCGAGUGGCGAACGGGUGAGUAACGCGUGAGGAACCUGCCUCAAAGAGGGGGACAACAGUUGGAAACGACUGCUAAUACCGCAUAAGCCCACAGCUCCGCAUAGAGCAGAGGGAAAAGGAGCAAUCCGCUUUGAGAUGGCCUCGCGUCCGA